AACUAACAAAGUUAAUGAAUUGAAGAUAAGCAUGGUUGUAGAAGGCAAAAGAACUCAAGCAAUUUUUGAUGAUGUGUUUUCUUCGAUGGUUGCUGACGCUUAGCCAAUUCCAGGGUUUCGAAAAGUCAAAGGAGGAAAGACACCGAAUAUACCCAAAAACAUUCUUUUGGAAAUUCUUGGGCCAUCAAAAGUUUACAAACAAGUCAUUAAAAGAAUAAUAAGCUCUACCAUCUCUGAUUAUGUGCAGAAGGUAGAUCCAAUAGGU